AGCAGUAGCCGCGGUAAUACGGAGGAUCCAAGCGUUAAUCGGAAUUACUGGGCGUAAAGCGUGCGCAGGCGGUUCGCUAAGACAGAUGUGAAAUCCCCGGGCUUAACCUGGGAACUGCAUUUGUGACUGGCGAGCUAGAGUAUGGCAGAGGGGGGUAGAAUUCCACGUGUAGCAGUGAAAUGCGUAGAGAUGUGGAGGAAUACCGAUGGCGAAGGCAGCCCCCUGGGCCAAUACUGACGCUCAUGCACGAAAGCGUGGGGAGCAAACAGGAUUAGAUACCCGUGUAGUCCCUGUCUCUUAUAC
rnacentral:rRNA from 1 species